CUUUUCUUCUAGACGGGUUUUGAUCUCCCCAUUGUGUAUUGGAAUGACUGCAAUCGGCAGAAAGCUUUCAGCCCCGAGAGCAGGAGGACGGGGGCUGGAAGAGCAGAGCUGCAAUGAUUCCUGGAAGAUGUAGGCAAGGGGAGAGAAGGAUGGCAAAGAAUAUCAAGCAGCCAGAGACAACAAAGACCACAGGGGCCAUGCAUAUCAGGCAGGAUUUACAGCAAACACAUCCAGUACCCAACAAAAUAAUCAUAAGAUGCCGAAGAUGUACAUCCCUUUUUCAAUCAAGUACAAAAAAAAGAAGAAGAAAAGACGCCAAUGCAAAACCCUUUUUAAAACUGCCACCGAUCCCAAAAAGGCAGAAAAACACCAAACCAAAAAAAAAAAGCCAAAAUGCCAAGCUGGUAUAACAUUUUGCAAUUCCGUAUUGAAUUGCUGUUAACAUUUGGCGACAGCAUUUUUUCUAUUUACGUAAGUAAUAGGGCCUCAGGUCUGCCUUAACAACUUCACCUUGCGGAUCAAACUAAUGAAAAAUAUUUAGAAAGGUGCCA